rnacentral:rRNA from 1 species
UACGGGGGGGGCAAGCGUUGUUCGGAAUUACUGGGCGUAAAGGGUUCGUAGGUGGCCAACUAAGUCAGACGUGAAAUCCCUCAGCUUAACUGGGGAACUGCGUCUGAGACUGGAUGGCUUGAGUGCAGGAGAGGAACGCGGAAUUCCAGGUGUAGCGGUGAAAUGCGUAGAUAUCGAGAGGAACACCAGUGGCGAAGGCGAGUCUCUGGACGACUCCUGACACUGAGGCACGAAAGCUAGGGGAGCAAACAGG